UCGCGCGCGUACGUAUGGAUGUGGUCCGCUUUUUGUUAUUAGCGAAUGCUUAGAAGCUUCAAGUUGCGGACACUGCGGUGGGCCAGGGCUUGAUGACAUUUGUUGCCCAGCUGCUGGUGCUACCGCGACGUACUUGGAGCAACGCUUCUGCUUAUUUCCUCUGCCUACACCUUAUAUUUGUUGUGUUUAUCGAGACCUAGCCUGUUUCUGCCUCGUUGAAGACAAAUGGACACAAGUACUGAUUGCUGUUGGUUUGUUUGGUUUGCUCAGUCUGAGCGUGCUGCAGAGCACUUGACCACUGCAGCAGUCAGGCAUGCUGUAUAUUGGGGAGUGCCAGGAAUUGCGAGAUCGAGACAGGCUGCCACUAGAAGUUCCUUGGGCCAGGUGAUAACUCAAAUACAUCCAAAUAUUUCUAUAUUUCACUAUAUAAACCUUUGUAGAAUGAGGAACUUUUCAAGGGUGAAGUUGUUUCACACAAAGGAAAACUAUUACU
rnacentral:lncRNA from 1 species